GUCAAGUAAUUAAGGGCAUACGGGGGAUACCUAGGCGCCAGAAGGCGAUGAAGGGCGUAGUUGGUUGCGAUAAGCUUCGGGGAGCCGCCAACAGGCAUUGAUCCGGAGAUUUCCGAAUGGGAGAACCCAAUACGGUAAAACCGUAUUAGCUUGCACUGAAUUCAUAGGUGCAGGCGGCGAACCAGGGAAACUGAAACAUCUUAGUACCCUGAGGAAGAGAAAGCAGCGCGAUUCCCCCAGUAGCGGCGAGCGAAAAGGGAUUGGCCUAAACCGUCAACCAGCAAUGAUUGACGGGGUUGCGGGGCCCGGUCGGGCGUAAGCCGGAAAGUAAAAAAAACGAUUCCUAGCCGAAGGACCUGGAAAGGUCCGCCAUAGCGGGUGACAGCCCCGUAGGCGAAAGGAUGAGUUCUUUCUGGAUCGGGUACCCAAGUACCACGGGACACGAGGAACCCAGUGGGAAUCCGGGGAGACCACUCUCCAAGGCUAAAUACUAUCUGGCGACCGAUAGUGCACUAGUACCGUGAGGGAAAGGUGAAAAGAACCCCCAUUAGGGGAGUUAAAAGAACAUGAAUCCGUAUGCCUACAAGCAGUGAAAGCCCUAUGGUCCGCAAGGACAAUGGGUAAUCGCGUACCUUUUGCAUAAUGAGCCGGCGAGUUACUGGGCGUGGCAAGGUUAAGCCGUAAAGAGGUGUAGCCGUAGCGAAAGCGAGUCUUAAUCGGGCGAUUUAGUCGCGUUUAGUAAACCCGAAGUCAAGUGAGCUAUUUAUGGGCAGGGUGAAGCGGAGGUAACACUUCGUGGAGGCCCGAACGAGUUGACGUUGAAAAGUCAUUCGAUGACCUGUGAAUAGGGGUGAAAGGCUAACCAAACUUGGCGAUAGGUGGAUCUCCUGGAAAUAUAUUGAGGUAUAGCCUCGGACGGUAGCGCAUGGAGGUAGGACACUGGAAGGACUAGGGCCCAUAACAGGGUACCAAAUCCUACCAAUUUACGAAUGCCAUACGUGGAACUCCGGGAGUCAGACAGUGGGAGAUAAGUUCCAUUGUCGAGAGGGAAAGAGCCCAGACCAUCAGCUAAGGUCCCAAAGUGCGUGUUAAGUGGUAAAGGUUGUAGAGACACUCAGACAGCCAGGAGGUUGGCUUAGAAGCAGCCAUCCUUUAAAGAAAGCGUAAUAGCUCACUGGUCGAGUCUUUCUGCGCCGAAAAUGUAACGGGGCUAAAACACGCCACCGAAGCUAUGGAUGCACAGCAAUGUGCGUGGUAGAGGAGCGUUCCCUGUGGAGUGAAGGCAGACCGUGAGGACUGUUGGACCGCAGGGAAGUGAGUAUGUCGGCAUGAGUAACGAUAAAACGGGUGAGAAACCCGUUCGCCGAAAACCCAAGGUUUCCUGGGCAAGGGUAAUCCGCUCAGGGUUAGUCGGCCCCUAAGGUGAGGCCGAAAGGCGUAACCGAUGGGAAACAGGUUAAUAUUCCUGUACUGUUUGCAAUCCGUUAUCACGAUGGGGUGACGCGGGAAGGUAAACCAUCCGGGCGCUGGUCGUCCCGGUUCAAGUCAGCAGGGCGUCUUCCUGGCAAAUCCGGAAGGCUGGUUUUAAUGCCGUGCCUGAGAGACGAGGUGGCGUUGACCCUACGGGGAAGACGUAACUGGUUGACCCUAAACCGCCAAGAAAAACCUCUAAGGAGGGUUGCAAAUAACCGUACCCGAAACCGACUCAGGUGGGUGAGGAGAAAAUCCUAAGGCGCUUGAGAGAACCGCAGUUAAGGAACUCAGCAAAUUAACUCCGUAACUUCGGGAAAAGGAGUGCCCCUGAGCGUUAAUAGCGCAUGGGGGCCGCAGAGAAUUACAGGCUGCGACUGUUUACUAAAAACACAGGACUCUGCUAAAUCGUAAGAUGAGGUAUAGGGUCUGACACCUGCCCGGUGCCGGAAGGUUAAAAGGAGAGGUCAGGGAUGAUUUCGGUUGUCCCGAAGCUUUGAAUUGAAGCCCCGGUAAACGGCGGCCGUAACUAUAACGGUCCUAAGGUAGCGAAAUUCCUUGUCGGGUAAGUUCCGACCUGCACGAAUGGUGUAACGCUGGCCUGACUGUCUCAACUGCGGACUCAGUGAAAUUGAUCUUACGGUGAAAACGCCGUAUACCCGCGACGGGACGGAAAGACCCCGUGCACCUUCACUGCACCCUGGCAUUGGAUCUUGGUUCGUGAUGUGUAGAAUAGGUGGGAGACUUUGAAGCCGGGCCGCUAGGCUCGGGGGAGUCACAAGUGAAAUACCACCCUUUAUGCGCUCGGAUUCUAACUUGGAUCCAUUAUCUGGAUUAAGGACAUUGCCAGGCGGGUAGUUUGACUGGGGCGGUCGCCUCCUAAAGAGUAACGGAGGCGCGCAAAGGUUCUCUCAGGCCGAUUGGAAACCGGCCGUUGAGUGUAAAGGCAAAAGAGAGCUUAACUGCGAGACCUACAAGUCGAGCAGAUGCGAAAGCAGGCCUUAGUGAUCCGGUGGUUCUGUGUGGAAGGGCCAUCGCUCAUCGGACAAAAGGUACGCCGGGGAUAACAGGCUUAUCACGCCCAAGAGUCCAUAUCGACGGCGUGGUUUGGCACCUCGAUGUCGACUCAUCGCAUCCUGGGGCUGUAGCAGGUCCCAAGGGUUGGUCUGUUCGCCCAUUAAAGCGGUACGUGAGUUGGGUUUAAAACGUCGCGAGACAGUUUGGUCCCUAUCCGUCGUGGGCGCUGGAUAUUUGAGGGAUGUCGUUCCUAGUACGAGAGGACCGGAAUGAACGAACCUCUGGUGCUCCGGUUGUCGCGCCAGCGGCAUAGCCGGGUAGCCAAGUUCGGCAUGGAUAACCGCUGAAAGCAUAUAAGCGGGAAACCAUUCCCAAGAUUAGAUAUCCCUAAAGGCCCCUUGAAGACUACAAGGUUGAUAGGCCAGGUGUGGAAGCGCCGCAAGGCGUGGAGCUGACUGGUACUAAUAGGCCGUUCGGCUUGACAUU
rnacentral:rRNA from 1 species